UGGGGAAUAUUGCACAAUGGCGGGAACUCUGAUGCAGCGACGCCGCGUGAGUGAUGAAGGAAUUCGUUUCGUAAAACUCUGUUCUAUGGGAAGAAAAGGACUGUACCAUAGGAGAAAGCUCCGGCUAAAUACGUGCCAGCAGCCGCGGUAAUACGAAUGGAGCGAGCGCUGUCCAGUAUUAUUGGGCGUAAAGGGUGCUCAGGCGGCUUUACAAGUUGUAUGUGAAAUAUUGUGGCUCAACCACAAACGUGCAUCCAAAACUGCAAAGCUUGGGUUAAGGAGAGGUAAGUGGAAUUCCUGGUGUAGCGGUGGAAUGCGUAGAUAUCAGGAGGAAUACCGGUGGCGAAGGCAACUUACUGGACUUAAACUGAAGCUCAGGCACGAAAGCGUGGGGAGCAAACAGG
rnacentral:rRNA from 1 species